GCACCGGUGGUGCAUGAUGCACGCUGCCAUUAAAUAAAGGACCAUUGUUUGCUUCAGGCAGAUCGGGGUUCGACUCCCCACCGGUGCA